rnacentral:rRNA from 1 species
UACGGAGGGUGCAAGCGUUAUCCGGAUUCACUGGGUUUAAAGGGUGCGUAGGUGGGUCUGUAAGUCCGUGGUGAAAUCUCCGAGCUUAACUUGGAACUGCCGUUGAUACUCUCUGUCUUGAAUCCCGUGGAGGUGAGCGGAAUAUGUCAUGUAGCGGUGAAAUGCUUAGAUAUGACAUAGAACACCAAUUGCGAAGGCAGCUCGCUACACGAAGAUUGACUCUGAGGCACGAAAGCGUGGGGAUCAAACAGG